UGAUCGACUCAUCACAAAUGUGCACCUUGAUCCCAAAGUCUUCACAAAUGCUCACCAAAGAAAGAUUCCCAGGAUGAUUCAGAGGCCUCUCACAACUUCUGCUCCAAAACGUUAAUAAAGAACCUUGAUAACUUGAUUCUCCACCCAGGUACCAAAUUCCCUUCCCCUCCACCAGAAGGUUCACCCCAACAACAAGAUAGAAAAGCAAAGACCUUCCAGGACAUCAGAGAUGGUUUGCCUUACAGGAGGAGAGGAAAAAGGACAUCGUUAUUUGUGGAAAGAAAGGAUGGUAAAACUGAGAUACCUGUUACUCAACAGAUUUUUCUCAGCUUAAACGAAAGCUAACAAAUAUUGGGCCUAAGAGGGUUCAGAAUGAAUCAAGAAUUGAACCAUUCAAAUGUGGCUGCAGUUUCUACAUGUAUCAUAGAUGGGAUCCUUCUGAGAAUGCUAGAAUAGGAAAUUAUGA
rnacentral:lncRNA from 1 species